rnacentral:rRNA from 1 species
UACGUAGGGGCAAGCGUUGUCCGGAAUCAUUGGGCGUAAAGAGCGCGUAGGCGGUCCGGUAAGUCGGUUGUGAAAACUGGGGGCUCAACCCUCAGAGGCCGACCGAUACUGUCGGGCUAGAGUCCGGAAGAGGCGAGUGGAAUUCUGAUGGUGUAGGCAGUAGAAAUGCGUAGAGAUCAGUGGAGGAAGACCAGUGGCGAAAGGCGGGUCUCUGGGACGAGUUCCGUGACACUGAGACACGAAAGGCCAGGGAGGCAAACGGG